GACCGACGUGCGAACGUUGUUCGGAAUCACUGGGCUUAAAGGGCGCGUAGGCGGGCCGCCGCGUCCGGGGUGAAAUCCUCCCGCUCAACGGGAGAACGGCCUCGGAUACGGGCGGCCUGGAGGCGGGUAGGGGCACGCGGAACUGGUGGGUGGAGCGGUGAAAUGCGUUGAGAUCCACAGGAACUCCGGUGGCGAAGGCGGCGUGCUGGACCCGAUCUGACGCUGAGGUGCGAAAGCCAGGGGAGCGAACGGG
rnacentral:rRNA from 1 species